CACUGACAUUAGAUACCCGCGUAGUCCUAGCCGUAACGAUACUCGCUAGGUGUCGGCCACGGUGCGACCGUUGUCGGUGCCGUAGGGAAGCCGUGAAGCGAGCCACCUGGGAAGUACGGCCGCAAGGCUGAAACUUAAAGGAAUUGGCGGGGGAGCACCACAACGGGUGGAGCUUGCGGUUUAAUUGGAUUCAACGCCGGAAAUCUUACCGGGACCGACAGCAACAUGAAGGCCAGGCUGAAGACUUUGCCGGAUUAGCUG
rnacentral:rRNA from 1 species